GGCCGCCGCGCACCUGGGACCCUGAGCUGCGUGCGGCCUGGGAGAGACCGCGGAGAGCACUGAGGAAGAUCAACUAUCCUGAUGUGAACUUUUCGGAUCUUGACCAGUGGCCUUUAUCCACUCACAAGAUGGCCAGGGUCCUCCAUGGAG
rnacentral:lncRNA from 1 species